AGUGAGCGCUGGCGGUAGGCCUAACACAUGCAAGCCGAACGGCAGCACAGUAAGAGCUUGCUCUUACGGGUGGCGAGUGGCGGACGGGUGAGGAAUACAUCGGAAUCUACUUUUUCGUGGGGGAUAACGUAGGGAAACUUACGCUAAUACCGCAUACGACCUACGGGUGAAAGCAGGGGAUCUUCGGACCUUGCGCGAUUGAAUGAGCCGAUGUCGGAUUAGCUAGUUGGCGGGGUAAAGGCCCACCAAGGCGACGAUCCGUAGCUGGUCUGAGAGGAUGAUCAGCCACACUGGAACUGAGACACGGUCCAGACUCCUACGGGAGGCAGCAGUGGGGAAUAUUGGACAAUGGGCGCAAGCCUGAUCCAGCCAUACCGCGUGGGUGAAGAAGGCCUUCGGGUUGUAAAGCCCUUUUGUUGGGAAAGAAAAGCAGCAGGUUAAUACCCCGCUGUUCUGACGGUACCCAAAGAAUAAGCACCGGCUAACUUCGUG
rnacentral:rRNA from 1 species